AUAGUUUGCUUCUUUUUGUAUUAGUAAAAUUGCAACAAUGUACAAAAUCUGCCACCUAUCAGCUUUACCAUCAGUGGAAACCAGUUUUCAUUCCUCCUUCAGGAUACAUUCUACAGAUCAUGGAAACUGUGUAGUUGGAUUUGAGUCAACAUACCUACCUUCACGGAAUGGUCCAGCCACUUUGGUUUCUGGGGAUGUAUUUCUUAGGCAGUACUAUUCUGUUUAUGAUCUUGGCAACAACCAAGGUUGGCUUUGCAGCCAUGGCCUGAACAGCAGUAAAAAACUGAACACAAAAAAAAAAAAUAUCUGGAA